rnacentral:tRNA from 1 species
UGUUAAGUACAUUUUGAUUUAAAAUUUUAAAUGUUAAUUAAAACUUAUGAUGCUAUGAGACGCGGGUUCGAUUCCCGCCUUAUCCA